GCCCUUUGGCCUGGAAUAACACGAGGAAACUUGUGCUAAUACCGGAUAAGUCUUUACGGAGAAAGCUUUAUGCACCAUUGGAUGAGCCUGCACUUGAUUAGUUUGUUGGUGGGGUAAUGGCCUACCAAGACUGUGAUCAAUAGCUGAUUUGAGAGGAUGAUCAGCCACAUUGGGACUGAGACACGGCCCAAACUCCUACGGGAGGCAGCAGUGGGGAAUCUUGCACAAUGGAGGAAACUCUGAUGCAGCGAUGCCGCGUGAGUGAAGAAGGCCCUUGGGUUGUAAAGCUCUUUCGUCGGGGAAGAAAAUGACUGUACCCGAAUAAGAAGGUCCGGCUAACUUCGUGCCAGCAGCCGCGGUAAUACGAAGGGACCUAGCGUAGUUCGGAAUUACUGGGCUUAAAGAGUUCGUAGGUGGUUGAAAAAGUUAGUGGUGAAAUCCCAGAGCUUAACUCUGGAACUGCCAUUAAAACUUUUCAGCUAGAGUAUGAUAGAGGAAAGCAGAAUUUCUAGUGUAGAGGUGAAAUUCGUAGAUAUUAGAAAGAAUACCAAUUGCGAAGGCAGCUUUCUGGAUCAUUACUGACACUGAGGAACGAAAGCAUGGGUAGCGAAGAGGAUUAGAUACCCUCGUAGUCCAUGCCGUAAACGAUGUGUGUUAGACGUUGGAAAUUUAUUUUCAGUGUCGCAGGGAAACCGAUAAACACACCGCCUGGGGAGUACGACCGCAAGGUUAAAACUCAAAUGAAUUGACGGGGACCCGCACAAGUAGUGGAGCAUGUGGUUUAAUUCGAAGAUACGCGCAGAACCUUACCAACACUUGACAUGUUCGUCGCGACUCUAAGAGAUUAGAGUUUUCGGUUCGGCCGGACGAAACACAGGUGCUGCAUGGCUGUCGUCAGCUCGUGUCGUGAGAUGUUGGGUUAAGUCCCGCAACGAGCGCAACCCUCACUUUUAGUUGCCAUCAUUAAGUUGGGCACUCUGAAAGAACUGCCAGUGAUAAGCUGGAGGAAGGUGGGGAUGACGUCAAGUCCUCAUGGCCCUUACGUGUUGGGCUACACACGUGCUACAAUGGUAUCUACAACAGGAAGCAAGACUGCGAAGUUAAGCAAAUCCCUAAAAGAUACCUCAGUUCGGAUUGCACUCUGCAACUCGAGUGCAUGAAGCUGGAAUUACUAGUAAUCGUGGAUCAGCGUGCCACGGUGAAUGCGUUCCCGGGUCU
rnacentral:rRNA from 1 species